UGGAAGUAAAAGUCGUAACAAGGUUUCCGUAGGUGAACCUGCGGAAGGAUCAUUACCGAGUGAGGGCCCUCUGGGUCCAACCUCCCACCCGUGUUUAUUUUACCUUGUUGCUUCGGCGGGCCCGCCUUAACUGGCCGCCGGGGGGCUCACGCCCCCGGGCCCGCGCCCGCCGAAGACACCCUCGAACUCUGUCUGAAGAUUGUAGUCUGAGUGAAAAUAUAAAUUAUUUAAAACUUUCAACAACGGAUCUCUUGGUUCCGGCAUCGAUGAAGAACGCAGCGAAAUGCGAUACGUAAUGUGAAUUGCAAAUUCAGUGAAUCAUCGAGUCUUUGAACGCACAUUGCGCCCCCUGGUAUUCCGGGGGGCAUGCCUGUCCGAGCGUCAUUGCUGCCCUCAAGCACGGCUUGUGUGUUGGGCCCCGUCCUCCGAUCCCGGGGGACGGGCCCGAAAGGCAGCGGCGGCACCGCGUCCGGUCCUCGAGCGUAUGGGGCUUUGUCACCCGCUCUGUAGGCCCGGCCGGCGCUUGCCGAUCAACCCAAAUUUUUAUCCAGGUUGACCUCGGAUCAGGUAGGGAUACCCGCUGAACUUAAGCAUAUCAAUAAGCGGAGGAA
rnacentral:misc_RNA from 1 species